rnacentral:rRNA from 1 species
CAGUCGCCGCGGGAAUACGUAGGGCGCAAGCGUUAUCCGGAAUUAUUGGGCGUAAAGAGCUCGUAGGCGGUUUGUCGCGUCUGCCGUGAAAGUCCGGGGCUCAACCCCGGAUCUGCGGUGGGUACGGGCAGACUAGAGUGAUGUAGGGGAGACUGGAAUUCCUGGUGUAGCGGUGAAAUGCGCAGAUAUCAGGAGGAACACCGAUGGCGAAGGCAGGUCUCUGGGCAUUAACUGACGCUGAGGAGCGAAAGCAUGGGGAGCGAACAGGAUUAGAUACCCCUGUAGUCCCUGUCUCUUAUAC